rnacentral:rRNA from 1 species
AGUGAACGCUGGCGGUAGGCCUAACACAUGCAAGUCGAACGGCAGCACAGUAAGAGCUUGCUCUUACGGGUGGCGAGUGGCGGACGGGUGAGGAAUACAUCGGAAUCUACUUUUUCGUGGGGGAUAACGUAGGGAAACUUACGCUAAUACCGCAUACGACCUACGGGUGAAAGCAGGGGAUCUUCGCACCUUGCGCGAUUGAAUGAGCCGAUGUCGGAUUAGCUAGUUGGCGGGGUAAAGGCCCACCAAGGCGACGAUCCGUAGCUGGUCUGAGAGGAUGAUCAGCGACACUGGAACUGAGACACGGUCAAGACUCCUACGGGAGGCAGCAGUGGGGAAUAUUGGACAAUGGGCGCAAGCCUGAUCCAGCCAGACCGCGUGUGUGAAGAAGGCCUUCGGGUUGUAAAGACCUUUUGUUGGGAAAGAAAAGCAGCAGGUUAAUACCCAGCUGUUCUGACGGUACCCAAAGAAUAAGCACCGGCUAACUUCGUG